UGAAACAUCUUCGGGUUGUGAGGUUAAGCGACUAAGCGUACACGGUGGAUGCCCUGGCAGUCAGAGGCGAUGAAGGACGUGCUAAUCUGCGAUAAGCGUCGGUAAGGUGAUAUGAACCGUUAUAACCGGCGAUUUCCGAAUGGGGAAACCCAGUGUGUUUCGACACACUAUCAUUAACUGAAUCCAUAGGUUAAUGAGGCGAACCGGGGGAACUGAAACAUCUAAGUACCCCGAGGAAAAGAAAUCAACCGAGAUUCCCCCAGUAGCGGCGAGCGAACGGGGAGCAGCCCAGAGCCUGAAUCAGUGUGUGUGUUAGUGGAAGCGUCUGGAAAGGCGCGCGAUACAGGGUGACAGCCCCGUACACAAAAAUGCACAUGCUGUGAGCUCGAUGAGUAGGGCGGGACACGUGGUAUCCUGUCUGAAUAUGGGGGGACCAUCCUCCAAGGCUAAAUACUCCUGACUGACCGAUAGUGAACCAGUACCGUGAGGGAAAGGCGAAAAGAACCCCGGCGAGGGGAGUGAAAAAGAACCUGAAACCGUGUACGUACAAGCAGUGGGAGCACAGAGCAAUCUGUGUGACUGCGUACCUUUUGUAUAAUGGGUCAGCGACUUAUAUUCUGUAGCAAGGUUAACCGAAUAGGGGAGCCGAAGGGAAACCGAGUCUUAACUGGGCGUUAAGUUGCAGGGUAUAGACCCGAAACCCGGUGAUCUAGCCAUGGGCAGGUUGAAGGUUGGGUAACACUAACUGGAGGACCGAACCGACUAAUGUUGAAAAAUUAGCGGAUGACUUGUGGCUGGGGGUGAAAGGCCAAUCAAACCGGGAGAUAGCUGGUUCUCCCCGAAAGCUAUUUAGGUAGCGCCUCGUGAAUUCAUCUCCGGGGGUAGAGCACUGUUUCGGCAAGGGGGUCAUCCCGACUUACCAACCCGAUGCAAACUGCGAAUACCGGAGAAUGUUAUCACGGGAGACACACGGCGGGUGCUAACGUCCGUCGUGAAGAGGGAAACAACCCAGACCGCCAGCUAAGGUCCCAAAGUCAUGGUUAAGUGGGAAACGAUGUGGGAAGGCCCAGACAGCCAGGAUGUUGGCUUAGAAGCAGCCAUCAUUUAAAGAAAGCGUAAUAGCUCACUGGUCGAGUCGGCCUGCGCGGAAGAUGUAACGGGGCUAAACCAUGCACCGAAGCUGCGGCAGCGACACUAUGUGUUGUUGGGUAGGGGAGCGUUCUGUAAGCCUGUGAAGGUGUACUGUGAGGUAUGCUGGAGGUAUCAGAAGUGCGAAUGCUGACAUAAGUAACGAUAAAGCGGGUGAAAAGCCCGCUCGCCGGAAGACCAAGGGUUCCUGUCCAACGUUAAUCGGGGCAGGGUGAGUCGACCCCUAAGGCGAGGCCGAAAGGCGUAGUCGAUGGGAAACAGGUUAAUAUUCCUGUACUUGGUGUUACUGCGAAGGGGGGACGGAGAAGGCUAUGUUGGCCGGGCGACGGUUGUCCCGGUUUAAGCGUGUAGGCUGGUUUUCCAGGCAAAUCCGGAAAAUCAAGGCUGAGGCGUGAUGACGAGGCACUACGGUGCUGAAGCAACAAAUGCCCUGCUUCCAGGAAAAGCCUCUAAGCAUCAGGUAACAUCAAAUCGUACCCCAAACCGACACAGGUGGUCAGGUAGAGAAUACCAAGGCGCUUGAGAGAACUCGGGUGAAGGAACUAGGCAAGAUGGUGCCGUAACUUCGGGAGAAGGCACGCUGAUAUGUAGGUGAAGUCCCUCGCGGAUGGAGCUGAAAUCAGUCGAAGAUACCAGCUGGCUGCAACUGUUUAUUAAAAACACAGCACUGUGCAAACACGAAAGUGGACGUAUACGGUGUGACGCCUGCCCGGUGCCGGAAGGUUAAUUGAUGGGGUUAGCGCAAGCGAAGCUCUUGAUCGAAGCCCCGGUAAACGGCGGCCGUAACUAUAACGGUCCUAAGGUAGCGAAAUUCCUUGUCGGGUAAGUUCCGACCUGCACGAAUGGCGUAAUGAUGGCCAGGCUGUCUCCACCCGAGACUCAGUGAAAUUGAACUCGCUGUGAAGAUGCAGUGUACCCGCGGCAAGACGGAAAGACCCCGUGAACCUUUACUAUAGCUUGACACUGAACAUUGAGCCUUGAUGUGUAGGAUAGGUGGGAGGCUUUGAAGUGUGGACGCCAGUCUGCAUGGAGCCGACCUUGAAAUACCACCCUUUAAUGUUUGAUGUUCUAACGUUGACCCGUAAUCCGGGUUGCGGACAGUGUCUGGUGGGUAGUUUGACUGGGGCGGUCUCCUCCUAAAGAGUAACGGAGGAGCACGAAGGUUGGCUAAUCCUGGUCGGACAUCAGGAGGUUAGUGCAAUGGCAUAAGCCAGCUUGACUGCGAGCGUGACGGCGCGAGCAGGUGCGAAAGCAGGUCAUAGUGAUCCGGUGGUUCUGAAUGGAAGGGCCAUCGCUCAACGGAUAAAAGGUACUCCGGGGAUAACAGGCUGAUACCGCCCAAGAGUUCAUAUCGACGGCGGUGUUUGGCACCUCGAUGUCGGCUCAUCACAUCCUGGGGCUGAAGUAGGUCCCAAGGGUAUGGCUGUUCGCCAUUUAAAGUGGUACGCGAGCUGGGUUUAGAACGUCGUGAGACAGUUCGGUCCCUAUCUGCCGUGGGCGCUGGAGAACUGAGGGGGGCUGCUCCUAGUACGAGAGGACCGGAGUGGACGCAUCACUGGUGUUCGGGUUGUCAUGCCAAUGGCACUGCCCGGUAGCUAAAUGCGGAAGAGAUAAGUGCUGAAAGCAUCUAAGCACGAAACUUGCCCCGAGAUGAGUUCUCCCUGACCCUUUAAGGGUCCUGAAGGAACGUUGAAGACGACGACGUUGAUAGGCCGGGUGUGUAAGCGCAGCGAUGCGUUGAGCUAACCGGUACUAAUGAACCGUGAGGCUUAACCUU
rnacentral:rRNA from 1 species